GCACGAGGCUUCGAGGAUGCUUCGUCCCUCACAGAAUCCUUUGCUGACUUUGACAUCCCCCAUAGAGACCACUACCGAAUGGUGGCCCUGUCGGCCAGUGGCCUGCUCCUUUGCCUUUGCAUUCAUCGUUAUAAUACAGUGAUGCUUUCCCUAUGGACCUGGGCCUUUUUGCCCAGGGAGAUUCCCAAUUUCCUCAUCUAGGACCUGUAAGCAAGCUGUCAUUCUACAUAGGUUCAAUCGAAGCUACUUUCCACAAGACCUUUGGUCAUUCUUACAAAAAUCAGAAUCAAUACCAACUGAAACAAAUGGAGACUUGUAGACCAAUCCAUCUAGAAGACUCCAGGAUCCAGGACUUCUCUUGGAGGAUCCGCCCCACACUUCAUUUCUGAUUGCUCUGAAAACCUUCCUCUGAGAAGCUUUCCCUCAUGACCUAACUAGUCACAGUCGCAGUAACCCCACUCCACCCAUGGCACUGAGAGAUUUUCCUCCUUUCCUUAGCCCUUAGUUUCUCUAUACAUUAAAUUAUGUAUUCACAUACCUCA